GCCAACUCUUUGAAAAAUAGCUCAGUUGGGAGAGCGUUAGACUGAAGAUCUAAAGGUCCCUGGUUCAAUCCCGGGUUUCGGCA